rnacentral:rRNA from 1 species
AUCAAUAAGCGGAGGAAAAGAAACCAACAGGGAUUGCUCUAGUAACGGCGAGUGAAGCAGCAAUAGCUCAAAUUUGAAAUCUGGCGUCUUCGGCGUCCGAGUUGUAAUUUGUAGAGGAUGCUUCUGGGCAGCCACCGACCUAAGUUCCUUGGAACAGGACGUCAUAGAGGGUGAGAAUCCCGUAUGCGGUCGGAAAGGCACCCUACACGUAGCUCCUUCGACGAGUCGAGUUGUUUGGGAAUGCAGCUCUAAAUGGGAGGUAAAUUUCUUCUAAAGCUAAAUAUUGGCCAGAGACCGAUAGCGCACAAGUAGAGUGAUCGAAAGAUGAAAAGCACUUUGGAAAGAGAGUUAAAAAGCACGUGAAAUUGUUGAAAGGGAAGGGAUUGCAACCAGACUUGCUCGCGGUGUUCCGCCGGUCUUCUGACCGGUUCACUCGCCGCGUUGCAGGCCAGCAUCGUCUGGUGCCGCUGGAUAAGACUGGAGGAAUGUAGCUCCCUCGGGAGUGUUAUAGCCUCUAGUGAUGCAGCGAGCGCCGGGCGAGGUCCGCGCUUCGGCUAGGAUGCUGGCGUAAUGGUCGUAAUCCGCCCGUCUUGAAACACGGACCAAGGAGUCUAACAUCUAU